UCAGGAUGAACGCUGGCGGCGUGCCUAAUACAUGCAAGUCGAGCGAGAAUCUUCAGACGAUCUCGGAUGAGUCAGGAAGAUGGAAAGCGGCGGACGGGUGAGUAACGCGUAGGCAACCUGCCCUCAGCAGAGGGAUAGCCAUUGGAAACGAUGAUUAAAACCUCAUAAUGCUGGACCAACACAUGUUGGAUCAGCCAAAGAUUUAUCGGCUGAGGAUGGGCCUGCGUCUGAUUAACUGGUUGGUGAGGUAACGGCUCACCAAGGUAACGAUCAGUAGCCGACCUGAGAGGGUGAUCGGCCACAUUGGAACUGAGACACGGUCCAAACUUCUACGGAAGGCAGCAGUAAGGAAUCUUGCACAAUGGGGGAAACCCUGAUGCCAGCAACGCCGCGUGAACGAUGAAGGCCUUAGGGUUGUAAAGUUCUGAUCUGUGGGAAGAAGAAAGUGACGGUACCACAGGAGAAAGCCCCGGCUAAAUACGUGCCAGCAGCUGC
rnacentral:rRNA from 1 species